rnacentral:rRNA from 1 species
AUCGAACGCUGGCGGCAGGCCUAACACAUGCAAGUCGAGCGAGCGGCGGACGGGUGAGUAAUGUAUGGGGACUGCCCGUUAGAGGGGGAUAACUACUGGAAAUGGUAGCUAAUACCGCAAAUUAUCGGAUUACUCAUAGGGGAUUAGCUAGUAGGGGGGGUAAUGGUUCACCUAGGCGACGAUGCCUAGCUGGUCUGAGAGGAUGAUCAGUCCUACUGGGACUGAGACACGGCCCAGACUCCUACGGAGGCAGCAGUUGGGAAUAUUGCACAAUGGGCGCAAGCCUGAUGCAGCCAUGCCGCGUGUAUGAAGAAGGCCCUAGGGUUGUAAAGUACUUUCAGUGGGGAGGCGUUACCGGCAGAAGAAGCACCGGCUAACUCCGUGCCAGCAGCCGCGGUAAUGC